GAUGGUGCUUGCACUAUCACUUAGCGGCGGACGGGUGAGUAAUGCUUAGGAAUCUGCCUAUUAGUGGGGGACAACAUCUCGAAAGGGAUGCUAAUACCGCAUACGUCCUACGGGAGAAAGCAGGGGAUCACUUGUGACCUUGCGCUAAUAGAUGAGCCUAAGUCGGAUUAGCUAGUUGGUGGGGUAAAGGCCUACCAAGGCGACGAUCUGUAGCGGGUCUGAGAGGAUGAUCCGCCACACUGGGACUGAGACACGGCCCAGACUCCUACGGGAGGCAGCAGUGGGGAAUAUUGGACAAUGGGGGGAACCCUGAUCCAGCCAUGCCGCGUGUGUGAAGAAGGCCUUAUGGUUGUAAAGCACUUUAAGCGAGGAGGAGGCUCUUUUGGUUAAUACCCAAGAUGAGUGGACGUUACUCGCAGAAUAAGCACCGGCUAACUCUGUGCCAGCAGCCGCGGUAAUACAGAGGGUGCAAGCGUUAAUCGGAUUUACUGGGCGUAAAGCGCGCGUAGGCGGCCAAUUAAGUCAAAUGUGAAAUCCCCGAGCUUAACUUGGGAAUUGCAUUCGAUACUGGUUGGCUAGAGUGUGGGAGAGGAUGGUAGAAUUCCAGGUGUAGCGGUGAAAUGCGUAGAGAUCUGGAGGAAUACCGAUGGCGAAGGCAGCCAUCUGGCCUAACACUGACGCUGAGGUGCGAAAGCAUGGGGAGCAAACAGGAUUAGAUACCCUGGUAGUCCAUGCCGUAACGAUGUCUACUAGCCGUUGGGGCCUUUGAGGCUUAGUGGCGCAGCUAACGCGAUAAGUAGACCGCCUGGGGAGUACGGUCGCAAGACUAAAACUCAAAUGAAUUGACGGGGGCCCGCACAAGCGGUGGAGCAUGUGGUUUAAUUCGAUGCAACGCGAAGAACCUUACCUGCUUGACAUAGU
rnacentral:rRNA from 1 species